UUUAAACCAGCUAUCCCAGAUAUAUUAAAAGGAAAUUAUAUGGAUCGUGUAGUAAAACACAUGAUUCCUUUACCGAACAUUGUAAUUAUCCCAUUAAAUGCAUCGAUCGGCGAUAUAACCUGAUCUUAAUGCGAGUACAGCUGAUAUAUAUCUACAUCCCGAAUGACCUCAGACGAGUCAAUGCUUCCUGAGAGCGAAAAUAUCCGUGAAAAAAAAUAAUUAUUGCUCACAAAGGAACCUGUUCCGCGAUAAAAAUCUACCCAGGCACAAUCGUAAGAACCGGGGAAGCUGACAGAUCUGACGGGUUUCUAUGCAGAUGAUGUCUCGUUUCGAUAUCUGCUGGGACGUGUAAAUAAUUAAUUACACAAUAUUCCCGCAUUGAAGGCGAAAGAAAUAAAUGAAGACAAGAACAUCUAAUCAAGCUGAAGUAUUUUAUUAUAUGUAGGAAUUACUUUUGUUUUAAGUUUUUGCCUUGGAAGUUUCUAAAUAAAUAGCCCUCAGUCACGAA